rnacentral:rRNA from 1 species
CCUACGGGAGGCUGCAGUGGGGAAUAUUGCACAAUGGGCGCAAGCCUGAUGCAGCCAUGCCGCGUGUGUGAAGAAGGCCUUCGGGUUGUAAAGCACUUUCAGCGGGGAGGAAGGCGGUGAGGUUAAUAACCUCAUCGAUUGACGUUACCCACAGAAGAAGCACCGGCUAACUCCGUGCCAGCAGCCGCGGUAAUACGGAGGGUGCAAGCGUUAAUCGGAAUUACUGGGCGUAAAGCGCACGCAGGCGGUCUGUCAAGUCGGAUGUGAAAUCCCCGGGCUCAACCUGGGAACUGCAUUCGAAACUGGCAGGCUAGCGUCUUGUAGAGGGGGGUAGAAUUCCAGGUGUAGCGGUGAAAUGCGUAGAGAUCUGGAGGAAUACCAGUGGCGAAGGCGGCCCCCUGGACAAAGACUGACGCUCAGGUGCGAAAGCGUGGGGAGCAAACAGGAUUAGAUACCCCAGUAGUC